CCCUUAGAUGUUCUGAGCCGCACGCGCGCUACACUGAUGCAUUCAACGAGCCUAUCCUUGACCGACAGGUCCGGGUAAUCUUUGAAUCUGCAUCGUGACGGGGAUAGAUUAUUGCAAUUAUUAAUCUUCAACGAGGAAUGCCUAGUAGGCGCAAGUCAUCAGCUUGCGUCGAUUACGUCCCUGCCCUUUGUACACACCGCCCGUCGCUCCUACCGAUUGGGUGUGCUGGUGAAAUGUUCGGAUCGGCCGUUUGUCGCGGUUUCCGCGGCUCGUGGCUGAGAAGUUCAUUAAACCCUCCCACCUAGAGGAAGGAGAAGUCGUAACA
rnacentral:rRNA from 1 species